AGAGAGAUUUCUUUUUAAAUUUUAAGUGAUGUGACAUGUGAGCUUCACCAUUUAAUAAUAAAAAAUGUUACAUCAGCAGGAGUAUGCUUUUCCCAAAUUCAAUUUCAAUUUUGGAUACAAUUUCUUCAAUUUUUAAAAGUUUGGUCAAUUUGACCAAAAUUGAAACCACUAGAUUAAAAUGCAAAUGGUCCAAAAGGUUUGGAUUUUUAGUGUGAUUAGGCCAUACAUAAAGCAUGAAUUACUCAAAGCCAAGGAACAUUAGUAACAACUAUAAUGGUUCCCCUUAUUGUUCAGUUAUCACCAAUGGAUUCUAAACCAU
rnacentral:misc_RNA from 1 species